UACGAAGGGGGCUAGCGUUGUUCGGAAUUACUGGGCGUAAAGGGCGCGUAGGCGGCACCGCAAGUCGACUGUGAAAUCUCCGGGCUUAACCCGGAAAGGUCAGCCGAUACUGCGGGGCUAGAGUGCAGAAGGGGCAACUGGAAUUCUCGGUGUAGCGGUGAAAUGCGUAGAUAUCGAGAGGAACACCUGCGGCGAAGGCGGGUUGCUGGGCUGACACUGACGCUGAUGCGCGAAAGCUAGGGGAGCGAACGGG
rnacentral:rRNA from 1 species